rnacentral:lncRNA from 1 species
GACCACCGACGCAUCAAAUACUGGAUUGGGCGUGGUGUUAUUAUAAGACCAAGAGAAUGUAAAACAUCCUGUAACAUAUCUUAGUAGAAGAUCUUUGCCAAGGGAAAGAAAUCUGUCUUCUAUCUAAGAGGAAUGUUUGGUAAUCGUUUGGGCCUUGGAUAAACUCAGGCCAUACGUCUUGGGCCAGGCAUUUACAUUAUGGACUAAUCAUAGAGCCCUGCAGUGAAUAUAGACAUUGUGGAGUAAGAGUAGGUUACCGAGAUGGUCAUGGCAGCUUUGACACUCACAGAGACAUGCAGCCUGUGUCCGGAUGGGGAACAUUCAGGCCAAGACCCUUUCUUAAAAGGAAAAAUGUGAACGCUGGUAUCCCCUGAACGGACCCCAUCUAAGUGGAUCCUGAACUCCCAGCCUGUGCCAUCAGAUAAGAAUGUCAACAUGGCAGAGGGCGAAGACUUGAACUGAAUUAUUGGCUGGGUCUCAAGACUUCAGGCUUUCAGACUGGAACACAACAUCGACUCUCCUGGGUCUCCAACUUGCCAAAUGUAGAUCUUGGGACUUCUCAGCCUCCCUAACUAUGUGAGCCUGUUCCUUAUAAUGAACCUAUUUCUAUAUAUGCAUACUAUUGGUUUUGUUUCUCUGGAGAACCCUGACUAAUACAGAUAUAUAGAAAUGUUUAGAAAGUGAUAUAUGUGAUAACAUAUGAAAGAACUGUAGUGAACUAUUUUUUCCAUAGUCAUAAUGUAAACAAUAACUAUUUAAAAGUUCAGUUGUAACUACAUGGGGGUGAUUAGGGUGCCAAAGUGAAGCUGGGGGAGUGGUUGAUAUAGGAGUGCUCAAUCCAGUUACCUUACAAGAAGUCAAGAAGGAAUAUCCUAACUGGAUAAUUCACAUUGUCUAGAAAAAUUAAGGUAAAUGCCAGAAGACACUUGCCUCUGGGGAGUGGGAUGGAAUUUGGGGGAAUAUGUUUUUCAUUAUAAGUCUUUUUGGGCUAUUUGACUUUUAAAUUAUAUGCAUGUGUCUAUAAAUAAAAGUUAACAAAAAAAAAAAAAAAAAGGAAAAAAGGAAACCAGGUUUCCAGACAUCAAUUACAAUGUGACUAUACAUGUUAAAAAUAAGUUGAUUAUAGUUGGCAGUAGGGACAAACCUAUUAGCCACCUUUAGCAUGUGAUGACAAGGUUACUUAUUUGUAGCCAGCAGCUUUUUAUCCAGUUGAGUGUCUUAUGGGUUAUAAGCAAACUACAAAGGUAACUAAUUUAUGUAUUAUGACCAAAAUACUUUUUAAAUUAAGCACAAGUGAAUGAUGUAUCUCUGCACUUCUUAGUAAUCAAAGCCUGAAAUAAAUUUAAUUACAAUGCA